CCUACGGGAGGCAGCAGUGGGGAAUAUUGGGCAAUGGGCGCACGCCUGACCCAGCAACGCCGCGUGAAGGAAGAAUGCUUUCGGGUUGUAAACUUCUUUUCUGAGGGACGAAAAAAGUGACGGUACCUCAGGAAUAAGCCACGGCUAACUACGUGCCAGCAGCCGCGGUAAUACGUAGGGGGCAAGCGUUAUCCGGAUUUAUUGGGUGUAAAGGGCGUGUAGGCGGGAAAGCAAGUCAGAUGUGAAAACUCAGGGCUCAACCCUGAGCCUGCAUUUGAAACUGUUUUUCUUGAGUGCUGGAGAGGCAAUCGGAAGUCGGUGUGUAGCGGUGAAAUGCGUAGAUAUACGGAGGAACACCAGUGGCGAAGGCGGAUUGCUGGAUAGUAACUGACGCUGAGGCGCGAAAGCGUGGGGAGCAAACAGGAUUAGAUACCCCAGUAGUC
rnacentral:rRNA from 1 species